rnacentral:tRNA from 1 species
GGAGGUGUCGCAUAGUGGUCAAUUGCACACGCUUGGAAAGCGUGAGCCUCACGGCUUCGCAGGUUCAAAUCCUGUCACCUCCG